rnacentral:rRNA from 1 species
AGAGUUUGAUCCUGGCUCAGAUUGAACGCUGGCGGCAGGCUUAACACAUGCAAGUCGAGCGGAGAUGAGGUGCUUGCACCUUAUCUUAGCGGCGGACGGGUGAGUAAUGCUUAGGAAUCUGCCUAUUAGUGGGGGACAACAUUCCGAAAGGAAUGCUAAUACCGCAUACGUCCUACGGGAGAAAGCAGGGGAUCUUCGGACCUUGCGCUAAUAGAUGAGCCUAAGUCGGAUUAGCUAGUUGGUGGGGUAAAGGCCUACCAAGGCGACGAUCUGUAGCGGGUCUGAGAGGAUGAUCCGCCACACUGGGACUGAGACACGGCCCAGACUCCUACGGGAGGCAGCAGUGGGGAAUAUUGGACAAUGGGGGGAACCCUGAUCCAGCCAUGCCGCGUGUGUGAAGAAGGCCUUGUGGUUGCAAAGCACUUUAAGCGAGGAGGAGGCUGCUGAGACUAAUACUCUUGGAUAGUGGACGUUACUCGCAGAAUAAGCACCGGCUAACUCUGUGCCAGCAGCCGCGGUAAUACAGAGGGUGCGAGCGUUAAUCGGAUUUACUGGGCGUAAAGCGUGCGUAGGCGGCUUUUUAAGUCGGAUGUGAAAUCCCCGAGCUUAACUUGGGAAUUGCAUUCGAUACUGGGAAGCUAGAGUAUGGGAGAGGAUGGUAGAAUUCCAGGUGUAGCGGUGAAAUGCGUAGAGAUCUGGAGGAAUACCGAUGGCGAAGGCAGCCAUCUGGCCUAAUACUGACGCUGAGGU